rnacentral:rRNA from 1 species
UGCUGGGUGGAUCAGUGGCGAACGGGUGAGUAACACGUGAGCAACCUGCCCCUGACUCUGGGAUAAGCGCUGGAAACGGCGUCUAAUACUGGAUACGAGAUGUGACCGCAUGGUCGAUGUCUGGAAAGAUUUUUCGGUUGGGGAUGGGCUCGCGGCCUAUCAGCUUGUUGGUGAGGUAAUGGCUCACCAAGGCGUCGACGGGUAGCCGGCCUGAGAGGGUGACCGGCCACACUGGGACUGAGACACGGCCCAGACUCCUACGGGAGGCAGCAGUGGGGAAUAUUGCACAAUGGGCGGAAGCCUGAUGCAGCAACGCCGCGUGAGGGAUGACGGCCUUCGGGUUGUAAACCUCUUUUAGCAAGGAAGAAGCGAAAGUGACGGUACUUGCAGAAAAAGCGCCGGCUAACUACGUGCCAGCAGCCGCGGUAAUACGUAGGGCGCAAGCGUUAUCCGGAAUUAUUGGGCGUAAAGAGCUCGUAGGCGGUUUGUCGCGUCUGCUGUGAAAUCCCGAGGCUCAACCUCGGGCCUGCAGUGGGUACGGGCAGACUAGAGUGCGGUAGGGGAGAUUGGAAUUCCUGGUGUAGCGGUGGAAUGCGCAGAUAUCAGGAGGAACACCGAUGGCGAAGGCAGAUCUCUGGGCCGUAACUGACGCUGAGGAGCGAAAGGGUGGGGAGCAAACAGGCUUAGAUACCCUGGUAGUCCACCCCGUAAACGUUGGGAACUAGUUGUGGGGUCCUUUCCACGGAUUCCGUGACGCAGCUAACGCAUUAAGUUCCCCGCCUGGGGAGUACGGCCGCAAGGCUAAAACUCAAAGGAAUUGACGGGGACCCGCACAAGCGGCGGAGCAUGCGGAUUAAUUCGAUGCAACGCGAAGAACCUUACCAAGGCUUGACAUACACGAGAACACCCUAGAAAUAGGGGACUCUUUGGACACUCGUGAACAGGUGGUGCAUGGUUGUCGUCAGCUCGUGUCGUGAGAUGUUGGGUUAAGUCCCGCAACGAGCGCAACCCU